rnacentral:lncRNA from 1 species
GAAACAGAGAGCAAAACAAAACAAAACAGAGAAGGGAGAAAGAAAGAAACAGAGAGCAAAACGAAACAGAGAAGGAAGGAAGGAAAGAAAGAAAGAAAAGAAAAGAAAAAGGGAAAUUUGGGGUUUUAAGGUUCAAAGUAAUUUGCUAAUGUCGUGUACGAGUCAUUGUCCGAGAAAGGAAAGGAGAAAGUGGACAAGGAGUGACUCGAGAGAAAUUACGGUUAGUAUUACUAUAAUUCGAAUUUAAUUAUUAAUUGUUAAAAUUUAAAUUAAUAUACAUGAUAAGAAAAUUGAGGUGAGUAUCAUGAUUGAAUCGAAUGAAAUAUAUAUAUACGUAUUGAUAUUGAAUUUAUUGAUAGUAAUUGUUGAAUUUUGAAUAAUAUGUUUAGUAAAUAAAAAUAAGGAGAAUACCAAUAUUUAAUUGAAUGAAUUAAAAUAUGAAUUGAAUAAAUGAGAUAUUAAAUUGAGAUAUGUGAAUAUGUGAAUUGUGUAUUGAUUGAAAAGUGGUUUGAAUUGAAUCGAAGUAUGAUUAUAUGUGAAUAUCUGAAAUAUGUAUUGGUAUUGAAUUGUAUAUUGAUUUGAAAGUGGGAAGUGAAUCUGAGUUGAAUUGCGAUUAAAUCGAAAGUGAAUUUGAAAUAGAAAAAUGUAUUGAAACAAAUGGUGAUUAAAUGGGAAUGAUUUGAAUUGAAAGUAUAAGAAAGUGAUUGAAUUGAAAUGUGAUUCGGAAACCCUAUUAACUAGUCGGGCUGAGUCGGAUAUAGUUGGCAUGCCAUAGGAUUGGAAGAGUUCAGGGAUACUUCGACCUUGAGUCGAUGAGACACUGGGUGUCACUAUAUUUCUUCGGAUAGAUUCGAUGAGGUACUGGGUACCAACUUUCUUCGGCUUUGCCGAUGAGACACUGGGUGUCAACUAUUGCUUCGAACUAUCCGAUGAGGCACUGGGUGCCAUUCUGGUGUGUUUGGUUGGAUCCGUGUAUCCGCCAAGGUCCGAGUCUUGUUAAUAGGGGUAAAUAAUUGAAAUGAGAAAAUUGAAUAAAUGUGAUUGAUUGAGCUAUGGGAAGAAACGAAAAAGUGAAGUUGUGAAUUGAUGUGUGAAUUGGAAAUCGAAAUAAGAGAUUUAAAGAUAUGAGCCCAAAGUUCAUGAUGUGAUAAAGAGUAAAUUUUGUUAUAUGAUAUUAGUGAGUACAAAUUGCAAUAAAAUUUAUAUUGAAUAUAAAUUAAAUGAAAUGAAUUGUAUAUGAAUUGAAAUGAACUAUUGGAAUGAGAUGUAAAGAAAAAUCCAAUGGAAUUGAGAUAGUGAAAUAAGGUAUGAAUACAAUUAAAUACAAGAUUUGAAUUAUAGCUUAUUGUUAUUAAUUAUCAAGUUGAUUUAAUGCAUGAGAUAAUUAAUGAAUAAUUGUAGACAUAAAUAAAAUGUAUAUAAUUUAUCGAUUAAUGUUAUUAAUUCGAAUUAUGGUAAUACCACUGAGUAUUUCCAUACUCAGCGUACGGUUGUUUCCGUGCGCAGGUUAGGUCAAAGUCGGAUUGUUGAAUCAGCAUCCAAAGCCGAUUCUGAGCUAAUUGUGGUGGUGAACAUUUCUUUUAGUUAUGGCAUGUAUAGGAAUUUAGUAAUUUUGUAUAUUUGUAAAUAUGAUUUUACUAUAGAAUGAUGUGUAAGUAUUUGAUGAUGAAUGGUUGUUUAAAUGGUCAAGGAUGAAGUUAAUUAUUGUUAUAAAAGUCUAAGUGAUAAAUUAGGUAUGAAAGUCAUAAAAUGGUAAAAUUUUGCAAAGAAACAGAAUUCAGGCAGCAAUAGUGACGUGAAUUUGAAAAAUCACCCAAGAUAGUAUAAAAUGAAUUAGAGGGUGAAUGAUAUAUGGAAUUAAAGCUUGUUGAGUCUAUUUUCAUGGAAAAAUAACGGUGUAGAGAAAAGAAAUUUAUAUUUUAAGAUAUGUGAAUUUUAGUAAGAUAGGGUCAGAACUGUUUUUGGAGUCCCCUGUUCUGAGUUUAGAAAAUAAUUACAAAUUGUACAAAAAUGGUUAUGAGUUGAAAUUUACAUGCUUAGAUUCCUUAAUGAGUCUAUUUUCUAUAGAAACAAGUAAGAACUUCAUAUGAAAAUCCUAUAGUGAGAAAACUUAUUUUUAGUGACUAGAGGUCAGGGCAGUCUGGUGGUGACACAGGGGAGACUUUAACUAAUAAACUGUACUAAUUUGCUAAACCAAAAAUUCUAAAAAUUUUAUGGUGAGUAUAUAUAUGAGUCUAGUUUCAGGGAAAAUUUACGAAAUUAAAUUUGGAGUUCCGUAGCUCGAGUUAUAAUCAAUUUAGUAACUGCUGCGCGAUUGGACAGAUUACUGUAAACAGUGAAAUUAAUUUUUAAAACGAAUUUUUAUGCCCCGAAUUAGUAAGAUAAGCUAAGUAAUGCCUCGUACUCGAUUCCGGCAACGGUCUCGGGUAAGGGGUGUUACAAUUUUGGUGGUAUCAGAGCUUUGCAGGUUUAGUCGAUUCUCGGACUAAAUCGAGCUCAGAAUUGAGUUUAGA